ACGCGUAGGUUAAUGCAUCCUCCUACAACACAGUUUUCCAGCUACAGGCCAACCUAGAAUAACAGCAGUACUAUAGAUUACACAAAAGCACAAUUCUACCACACGCCACCUAACUGGAAGCCGCACAUCGCCGUCAAAAUCAAAGUGUUUUACAGUUACAGGCGCCUCUCGUUGCCUACUGAUGGCAAAGACAGUUAUACAAGCCUGCCCAUCAGCAACAGGUGGGGGUUCAGUGUCUCAAGGACAGAAACGUGAGGCGUUGGGAACAAACCUGGAACCCUUCAGGCCCAAGUCAUCCACUUACAGAAGAAACACCAUCAGGGUAUGAGGGGUGAGGCUGACACCUUCUGGAGAAAAUGUCUUUCAACAAACCCAGCUCUGAGGGGAAAUUCAAGACAACACAAUUGCGAACUCUGCCUGCAAGCAUCCCUUGUGACCUUGUGUUGGGGUUCACUGGUGAUUCAGUGAUGGAUGGUGCACUACUGCAAGGCAAUAAUGCUUGUAGUAGUGAAUGUCAAAGGCUGGACACUGCAGGCUGUAUGCUGAAAUAGAACUUCAAAUCCUUGACUUAGUCUCCUUGGUCCUUUUACAAGCAUUGAAUCAGUAUGAGAUAAUAAUAAUAAUAAUAAUUUAUUUUAUUUGUAAUGCACCCUUCAUUCAAAAGAAUCUCAGAGUGCCAACAUAUUAAAAACUAACUAUAAUAAUACAAUAAAAUAAAAAUGAAUUAACA
rnacentral:lncRNA from 1 species